ensembl:snRNA U6 U6 spliceosomal RNA
GUGCUUGCUUCAGCAGCACAUAUACUAAAAUUGGAAUGAUUCAGAGAAGAUUAGCAUGGCCCCUGCACAAGGAUGAAAUGCAAGCUCAUGAACAUUCCAUAUUAAA